UGUUGGGUUAAGUCCCGCAACGAGCGCAACCCUCGUCCACUGUUGCCAGCAAUUCGGUUGGGGACUCAGUGGAGACCGCCGGGGUCAACUCGGAGGAAGGUGGGGAUGACGUCAAGUCAUCAUGCCCCUUAUGUCCAGGGCUUCACGCAUGCUACAAUGGCUGGUACAGAGAGUGGCGAGCCUGUGAGGGUGAGCGAAUCUCGGAAAGCCGGUCUCAGUUCGGAUUGGGGUCUGCAACUCGACCCCAUGAAGUCGGAGUCGCUAGUAAUCGCAGAUCAGCAAUGCUGCGGUGAAUACGUUCCCGGGCCU
rnacentral:rRNA from 14 species